rnacentral:rRNA from 1 species
UACGAAGGGGGGCUAGCGUUGUUCGGAAUUACUGGGCGUAAAGCGCACGUAGGCGGGUCGUUAAGUCAGGGGUGAAAUCCCAGAGCUCAACUCUGGAACUGCCUUUGAUACUGGCGACCUAGAGUCCGGAAGAGGUUAGUGGAAUUCCCAGUGUAGAGGUGAAAUUCGUAGAUAUUGGGAAGAACGCCAGUGGCGAAGGCGGCUAACUGGUCCGGUACUGACGCUGAGGUGCGAAAGCGUGGGGAGCAAACAGG